UACGGAGGGUGCAAGCGUUAUCCGGAUUCACUGGGUUUAAAGGGUGCGUAGGUGGAUUAGUAAGUCAGUGGUGAAAUCUCCGAGCUUAACUCGGAAACUGCCAUUGAUACUAUUAGUCUUGAAUUAUCUGGAGGUGAGCGGAAUAUGUCAUGUAGCGGUGAAAUGCUUAGAUAUGACAUAGAGCACCAAUUGCGAAGGCAGCUCACUACGGAUAUAUUGACACUGAGGCACGAAAGCGUGGGGAUCAAACAGG
rnacentral:rRNA from 1 species